rnacentral:lncRNA from 1 species
GGGAGGGGUUUGCAAGAAUCUGGAAGCUUGUGUGUUUUUUUCUGCAUUUUUAUGAUUUUUUGUGACCAUUGGGGCACUCUGCUGUUGUUAAAAAAAAAGAUUUCUGGGUUUGGAUUUCUGUGUGGUGGGUGGCUGGGAGGGUCAGGGAAUUGUUGAGAAGGGGUUUGCAAGAAUCUGGAAGCUUGUGUGUUUUCUGGGAGGUUUGGUGCUUUUGAAUUUUUUGGAUGUGAAGCACUGAUUUAUUUAUUUUUUGGGUUUGCGAAGGUAGGAGCUGUGCUGCCAUGGGGCCCAAGAAGACUGCUGCUGCAGAGGCCGGCGAGAGGAAGAAGGAGAAGAUUACGCUGGAAAUGAAGAAGGAGAUCAUCCGGAAGCACGACGGUGGAAUGCGUGUGACAGACCUCGCCAGGGAGUACGGGAGGAAUCCAUCGACCAUCGGGACCAUCCUGAAGAUGAGGGAGAAGAUCCUUGCGACUGAUGCAGCCAGGGAGUCACCAGGAUCGUGAAGAACCGCCCAGCUGUUCUGGAGGAGGUCGAGAAGUUGCUGCUCAUCUGGUUAGAAGAGAAGCAGCGUGCAGGGGACACAGUGACUGAGGCCGUCAUUUGUGAGAAGGCCAAGGCCUUGCACACAGACCUCGUCCGGCAACAGCCAGGAACCUCAGGCGAGCCAGAAGUCUUCAAGGCAAGCAGAGGCUGGUUUGACCGGUUCAGGACGAGAUCUGGAAUCCACCGCGUGGUCAGGCAUGGAGAGGCUGCCAGUUCUGAUGUUCCUGUGGCUGAAGACUUUGCAGCAGAGUUCCUGGAGGUUGUGACGAUGGAGGGCUACGUUCCCCAGCAGGUCUUCAACUGCGACGAGACCGGGCUGUUUUGGAAGAGGAUGCCCAAAAGGACUUUCAUCACUCAGGAGGAGGCCAAGUUGCCUGGCCACAAGCCCAUGAAGGACCGUCUGACCCUGCUCUUCUGUGCCAACGCAAGCGGCGACCUGAAGAUCAAGCCCCUGCUGGUGUACCACUCGGAGAACCCACAGGCCUUCAAGAAACACAAGGUCGACAAGGAGAAGCUGAGUGUCAUGUGGCGAUCCAACAGUAAGGCUUGGGUCACACGUGUGCUGUUUGUGGACUGGGUCAAUCUUGCUUUUGGCCCUGCUGUCAAACAGUACCUGCUGGACAACGACCUGCCGCUGAAGGCUUUGCUUCUGAUGGACAAUGCUCCUGCUCAUCCUAAAGGCCUUGAGGAGGACUUGUUGGAGGAGUUCAGCUUCAUCAACAUCAUGUUCCUGCCGCCUAACACCACGCCACUGCUCCAGCCGAUGGAUCAGGAGCUCAUCGCCAAUUUCAAAAAACUCUACACCAAGGAGCUUUUCAGGCGAUGCUUUGAGGUGACUGAUUGCACCAACAUCACCCUGCAGGAAUUCUGGAAGGACCACUUCGACAUCGUCACCUGCUUGAAGAUGAUCACCAGGGCCUGGGACGGGAUCAGCCAGAGAAAUUUGAAUUGCGCUUGGCGCAGCCUGUGGCCGGACUGUGUGGCACCAAGUGACUCUGAUGCACCAGAGUCAACAGUGGUGCAGGACAUUGUUUCCUUGGGGAGGACCAUGGGCCUGGAGGUCACAGAGGAGGACAUCAGCGAGCUGGUGGAGGAGCACGACCACGAGCUGACCACCCAGGAGCUGGUCGAACUGCAGGCAGAGGCUGCGCAGGAGCAGGCCUCGCUGGAAGAGGAGGAAGCAACUGAGGAACGGCUGUCCUCCAAAGAACUGAGGGACAUUUGCCAGAAGUAGAAAGAUGUGCAGGCUUUUGCACAGCGGCACCACCCUGACAAGGACCUGACACGUGACCUUGCGAACACUUUUGAUACGAGGGUCAUGUCGUCUUUCAGGGAGGUGCUGAAAAGGCGGAUGAAGCAGCAGACCAUGGACAGGUUCUUCAGCAAGAAGCAAAGAGUGGAAGAGGAACCUUCUUCGAGUUGUCCCCCAGAGUCUUAGAAAAUGUAUGUACAGUGGUGCCCCGCAAGACGAAUGCCUCGCAAGACGGAAAACCCGCUAGAUGAAAGGGUUUUCCGUUUUGGAGGUGCUUCGCAAAACGAAUUUCCUAUGGGCUUGCUUUGCAAGACGAAAAUGUCUUGCGAGUUCCUGCGGGGUUUUUUUCCUCCCCCCCCUUUUCCCCAAGCCGCUAAGCCGCUUAUCAGCUGAUCCGCUAAGCUGCUUAUCAGCUGAUCCGCUAAGCCGCUUAACAGCUGAUCCGUUAAGUCACUAAGCCGCUUAUCAGCUGAUCCGCUAAGCCGCUUAUCAGCUGAUCCGCUAAACCGCUUAACAGCUGAUCCGUUAAGCCACUAAGCCGCUUAUCAGCUGAUCCGCUAAGCCGCUUAACAGCUGAUCCGUUAAGCCACUAAGCCGCUUAUCAGCUGAUCCGCUAAGCCGCUAAUAGCGCUAAACCGCUAAUGGGCUUGCUUCGCAAGACGAAAAAACCGCAAGACGAAGAGACUCGCGGAACGGAUUCUUUUCGUCUUGCGAGGCACCACUGUACAGUACAGUACACUUUGGUUAUUUUAAAAUGCUUUUCUGUCAUGUUUAGAAACUUAAAUUAUUGUUCCUUCAAUUUUUGAAAUGCUCUUUACAGUAUGUGUGACUUUAAAGAGCACUUAAUAAACUCUCUUUGUACCCAAUUUGGCUUUGUUUGGACUUUUUUUGACCAUAGGAACACAUUAAUUGAUUUUCAGUGCAUUCCUAUGAGAAACCGUGCUUCGCAAGACAAAAAAUUCGCUAGACGAAAAAACUCGCAGAACGAAUUAAUUUCGUCUUGCGAGGCACCACUGUAUAUGAAUACGUAAGAAGGUGCACAUUGGGACAAUUCCAUUAAAGGUGUGCACAUUUGUUUUGGUAAAAAUUCACAAAGCAGUGUUGAUAGCACAAACAUCCUGGCAUUGGUGGGCUUAUUAACAUGAAAUGUUGGAUUCCAUCAGUCUCGAGAUACAAUGGAGUGCCCAUCCAGAAGGCGAAAUCAAACCAUUGGCGAAUCUCUGCGGCUGCAGAGACCGGUAACUCGUAACCGCUGCCUCCUGUGCUUGGUUUUGCUGUGUUAGUCUGGGCAGUGUGCGAGUAUGUCCUAGACUGCAGCGGCGUAGCGUGGGUUGUCUGCACCCGGGGCAAGGCAAGAAAUUUGCGCCCCCUAACCCAGGGCAAGGCAAGUAAUUUGCGCCCCCUAACCUGCCGCCGCUGCCAGCUUCUUCUUGCUGCUGCCUGGGCUGGUCUGGUGUGGUUCUCUCCCACGCUCAGCGCUGCGCUGGGCGGCCGCUGCACUGUCCCUCUCCCAGAUAGUCCCUCACUCUCUCUCUGCACCGCACGCCUGGCACCCACCCCCUCCACAGUGGGCGGCGACCCAGCGGCUUGGAUCGGAUUCACACAGCCAGCACUGCAGUGAGAGAGAGUGAGUGAGCCAGGUAGGGGCAGAGAGCUGCGAGUGCGAGCGCUCCCCCCCCAGAUGUUGCGCCCGGUGCGCCCGGCCCCCCCUGCACCCCCCACACUACGCCACUGCUAGACUGCCCAGAAAACAAGACCCUGCUCACGGCCUUGCUGACGUGAUCCAAAAGAAAGCAGAGCAUACAACUGGCACCAGCAGUUGGAAUUGCCAAACUGAGGCAUAAUCCAACAAUCCAACCAUUUUAGGGAUUCCACUCUGAUUUUGUGUAGGGCUUACUCCUUAGCAUUUUUCAUCUUUGUCUCAAUGCAGGUGACAAGACAUCACAAGUAGACACAAAAAACUCAGUACGACCAAAUUGCUAUUAAAAAUCCACUUUCCUACAUGGCUCCAAUUAGAC